GUGAGCAUCACAAACGCAGGAAUGGCUGAACCUCCUAAGGUAAUAUUCAUCUGUAUCCCGCAGAACCGCUCCCGACAAGAAACCACGUUUAACAGCAAAGAAAAGAAGCAACACGAGUAAAUCUCGGUGUGGCUUUCCACCGCUGGAGACGGCUCCUGAGAGUAAAGAGAUGCGGUUUGAUGUCGAGCUCGCAACUUUCCUGUUAGCCUGGACCUGAGCCAGUACAAAUGCAAUACCGCCUCCACCUGUCUCACCAACGGCAGAGAGUCACAGUGAGGUGGAUCUAGGACCAGAAGUCCAGUCUAAUCACCAAUGAUGGACCAGCACCUGCCUUUUCUUCUGCAUCUGGCCUCAUCAAUCAACUCCAUUACAUCAACACCUUGAGGUAUGGCAGAAUCCACCUCGGGCCAGAACCACGCCUUGCCCAGCAAGAAAUGGCCCCGGCUUGAGGUCUGUUGGCAGAUUAUAUUUGUUCUGGAAAGAACAGUAAAAUGAUGAGACAGGCAACAGGUCACAAAGAAGCUCGCUGGUGCUGCUUCUGAAACAGCUGCCUGGGUUACCGAUGUUGGUGUGUUGGCUUUCCAGGACGGCUGCUGGAUUGCCUGUCGUCUCAUUGAGGCAUAGCGGUCCUAGCUGGAGGGGAAGCGCAGGAUGCUCGGCCUGACUGUUGCCGAGGUGGAAGACACGUAGGGCAGAGGAGACGGCCCUCCUCAUCAAUGGCACUUAACUUCCAAUGCCUCCCCAGUUAAUGUUGUUUGGGUGAGCCGUCUCUUUGUCCGUAAAUCCAUAGUCCUGAUCAUUACCGUUGUGUCUGUCCUGUUGAGUCUCUCAUCCUCCCCUCCUCUCGGGAGACUCUUGGGGUAUUGUACUGUAUUACUUUCUGUAGCUUAAGUUGGUGCCCUCUUGCGAGUGCUGUGCAAAAGGUUGCUAACCUCGUACACCCACGCCAGUCUUUCCUGGAGGUCAUCUGUCUUUCCAGAGUCACCGAACUUCCUCGGUUGCCAUCCAGACUUUCCUGGAAGUCACUGGUUGCCCAGAGAGCUAUGUCAUAUUAAAAGGAGACACAUUUUUAUGAGUCACUGUCAAACAAUGUUACAGAUUGAGAAAUGUCCGAUGCAGCUGAGGGGACAAAUGUCUCUGUUCGGAGGGACACAGACCUGUAACUGUGGUUUCCAUACACACAAGGUACCAGAAGUCUCAAAUAAAGUUAUGAAGUGUUGGUGUUGUAUUCUGUAUUCUGUAAAAUUUCACUUUCUUGUCUGUGAACCUCUAGCCUUCCAGCUCUGUCCCUGUGUCAUCUUUGGGGACACCACAACCAGGACCCUCAUCUGCAUCAACAUCUUCUUUGUCACCCACCAUAACGCCUGGACGGACACCUCAAAAGCCCAUUUUGAAUUUGACAUCGUUUGCAAAGCCACGGUUUGGUGGCUCUCAUGGUGCCGCUUUAAAGCCAAACCUGAGAGCAUGCAACUGAGCCCGUCAGUGGAAGGUCUGAGUCAUCCAGCACUGUCACAAGUGCGAUGGCAAGGAGGACACCGUCCCCUGCCCGCAGUCCCAGGAUGUUAGUUCAAACUGUCUCUCCUCUUUCACUUCCUCCCUGUCCUGUGCCUUCAACCGACUCAACUUCCUCCAUUCCACCGGCCACUGCCAGAGCUGAAGUGUCAUCUGCCGCCUCCUCCUGUACCUCCUCUGCUCCUCUCGCUCCUGUGACCUCUGCAUCUGCCUCUGCUGGUGUCUCCUCUGCUGCUCCAUCUGUGGCUGGUCCUUCAGCCCAGCCUGCACCUGAUACUCUGCCACUGGCUGAAGAUGUGGAGACUGCUCCUGGGUCAGAGCCUUGCUGGCUGCCCACAAAGCUGAUCAAGACCAUACCAGCUCAAGUUCAGAAAUGGAUCUCAGCAGCUCUCUGGAAGCACUGGCGGUUGCGAACUGACCUAAAACUGUGGUAUGAUCCACCAGAGCCAGCCCUCAUUUAUCACCAGGCCCCUGAUCCAGAGCACUUUUUUGCGCACCGCCUUCUCUUGUGGGUGCCAAACCACCUAUGGAAGGUCAGGCUGACCUGUCCUGUGGGUGGAAAACAGCUCACAAGCUACAGAGCCCACAAGAGAGCCCACCACGUUCUGGAUGUCGGCAGGUAUUACCUGAUGAUAACAGAGACUCUCUGGCAGUGCAGUUGGUUGCAAAACAACUUACCUUUCCAGCAGCAAGACUGUCUUGGACCAGCUGGAUUUGGCGCACAGGCUGGAGUUCAGACUGAUCCUGACUAAAAUACGCUUGGGUGAUUGGCUUUCUGAGGGAGAGGGCCCUCGGUAACAGUCCCACUCGCUUGGUCAGACAGCUGAGGGAAAACCACAGCGAGGAGUGGCUUAAGCGCCUCUGCCGAUACCUCGGGGCACGCUCGGACUUUGCUGCCCGGCCGAGUCUGCUCCCUGUCAAGUUCCAUGAACCACGUGAGCCAGUAGAUAUUCCUUCACACAGGUAGAUGCUGGCUGUUUAAGGACGAGACAUUCUCAGCGGGCUGGACCACAUCAAAGCCGGCAUAACGUCCACCUUCAGCAGUAUCCUAAAAAUGGACUCUACAAAGAAGGUAAAUAUUUUUAACCGUUAAUGCCGUAAAUUACUACAUUAUAAACAAAAGUAGUCUAAAAUACAGCAUUAGCAAUAUAUGCAUGUAAAAUAUGAUAUUUAGAAAUGAAACAUAGUACUAUUAUACGAGCGCUCACAUAUAAAUUAAAUAAAUUGUUUAAUCAUUCACUGUCUUUUCUGUGCCAUUGCAGAUCACCAUCUUUCAAUCUUUUUUAAUUUAAAGUCUUUAAAAAAAAAAAAAAAAAAACACCCCGUGUUAUUAUUUGAAAAUUGUUAGUAAGGCAAAUUGUUGUAAUUUAGAACCAGAAGUAUUAAAGUUGUAUCCUGCAUUUAAUUAUGUUCUUUGUUAUCAGGAUAAGCAAAACCCUGGUGAAUGUUUGAAUUCCUUUGUUUUUCCUUUGGAUGCAUUAAGAAUGUAAGAUGUUUUAGUUGCCCUUUAUUCAUUAUUUUUGUGAUUUGCAUGGCAAGGUAUUUACUUUUGUUUGUUGUACUGAAGAAAUCAUCUAUCCAUCCUACCAUCAGUUCCUUGCUGAAUUUCCUGAACAAAAUAAAUGGUUAAAUGUC